rnacentral:lncRNA from 10 species
AAUCACAGCUCACUGCAACCUUGAACUCCUGGCCUCAAGCAAUCCUCCAGUGUGGGCCUCCAAAAGUGCUUGGAUUACAGGUGAAAGAAGAAAAGAAAGAACACUACUGGAAAGCUUUUGGAAUUUCUACAUAGGUACCUGGAGAAAAAAAUAUUACCUUUAAAUCAUACAUGGCAAAGGCUACUGAGCAGCUGAGUAUAUGCACACGAUGUCACUAUGAAUUAAGUGACACAUUGCUAAGACAGAUAUGUGCAGGGGAUGAGAAGCAAAUUUUUGCCACCUGCCCAGUUUGUCAUAGCUUCAAUCUUUCAACUUUGUCAAAUCUGAAGGUGAAUGAAAUGUCUUAAAGAGAGGAUAAGACCUGAAUAGCCUUGAAGAAAGUGGGCGCAGAAAUGGCCCAAAUCACUGGUAAUUAUCCUCAUAUGGGCCACUCAUGGGGAGUCCUAUGCAGCAACCAGAUUGAGCUGUCUUCGUAAAAGAAUGGGCUCUGUUGAAAUUUUCAUGACGCAUCCAAUGUUUGGGUGUUCUUCUUGUGCAUAAAACUGUACUCAUGACAAUUAGAGGAACAUUGGGUUUAAUCAACACUGGCCCCAACCAAAACAGAUGAGUCUUGGAAAAUUUAGAAACUAUAUUUGGAUUACUGAGUCAUCUGAAAGUGUCCUUCCAAGACGAAAAAGAUUUGCUAACUAUAUAGGAACACUAGAGGGAGCCCACUUCCAAGAGACUUCAUGUGGCUGGCAGUUGAUAAAGGUUAUGAAGUGAUUCAUGAGUGGACAAGACAUGUUUUCAAACCAAUAAGGCAUCACAUUCAUCAACCACGCUGGUGGAGGCCUUUACUCUCACUCAGGAAGGAGUGCUAAAAAUGUACAUUACUAUAGAAUCUGAGAAAGUGAUGAAGAGUUCUAGGGGACUAGUUUGGUAUAGGAGGAGGCAGUCAUUUACAAAAAUUCUAUGGUAAGCCUAAGCUAUGGAGAAAAAAUUAAAAAAAAAAAAAAGGCUGUCGGAGAAUGUGGCUUUCACUGAAAUAUCUAAGAGUUUAUGUCCCAUGGAAAAAAAUGUCUUUCUGUAGGGGGCAGAUGUGUGG